CCCGCACCAGCGUCGGUUCACCUGGGUUCCCCAGGCCGGUCUCCAGUCGUUGCCCUGCAGUCCCGUAAACCUGAGUUCGGGGAGUGCCGAAGGGUUUUAGGAUCGUUGAAUGGUGAAGACACUGAGGCUGGAAAAGUGAAGCCCUGAUCAGGACACCUGUAUGUAAUCUUGCUGGAAUCUGGCACACAUCUGAGAGAGUAGAAAAACAAUGUGAGGCAAUUGAGCAAAAUGACUGAUGUAAGCACUAAGAGCUCUUGAGUUGAGACAAUGGGGAAAUCAAGACAGGUUAUAGCAUUCAGUCAUUCAGCAACAUUUUUCAAGCAACUGUUGGAUAAACAGUACCCUGCUAGGUACUGUGUACACCCAUCCAGUACUGAAGACAAAGCUACAAAUGAAGAAUUGUGAUACAAUUAGAUCCAUGUUUAGGAUCCUGAGACUCAAGAUACUCUGGGGUAACGUACUUCACCAGGAAGAGGUCAGUGAGGUUUCACAGAUAAUUUAAUGUUUAAAAUGGGUCUUGGAGGAUAUUUGAGAGUUUCUCAAGUGGAGAAAAGGGUAAAUCGUAUCUGGCAGAGGGAAGAGCAUGUACUAAGGUACAGAAAGCUGGACAUACAUGGCAAGACUGAGAAUCAGAGAGUGAGUCACUGUGUCUGGAGGUCAAGUACAUAAAGUUUGUAGAGGUAAGACUAGGAAGAGAAAUUGGGGCCAUGUUGUAUAUGAGGUAAAAGAGUUUACAUAUUAUCCUCCAGGAAAUGGGAAAAUGAAGAUAUUUUAGAGUGACAAAUCUGCAGUGUGAAGGAAAAAUUUGAGCCAGAGAGAAGAUAACACCUGAGCUUUACUUGGAAUGCUACUUUAGAGUUGGCUAAGCAAAGAAGUGGGUAUAGAGCUUGAGCAGAGGCUUAAAGUCCUGACAAGCAAGUCCUGACAGGGACGAUGAGACCAGCCAGGUGAGAAAGGCAUAAUCUCAGGAGAACGACAGAAGGAAGAAAACAUUAUACAAUGAAGAAUCUUGAUGCAGUUGGAAAGUUGAACCUCCUCGUUAUAGGCAGGUCGCGUAGCCACUGGAUAUUUCCAUCAUGUUUUAGGUGUGAAAUGAAUUACAAAUUGAGUAAGGAACAAAGGAAGCAUCAUAUUCUGGCUAUGUGGUAGUAAGAAUAUAGUCUCUGCUUGCAGUAAUGAACCCCUGUGGGUGGCAAUGAGUCUGAAUUGGAGAAAGUCGACCUCAGCAAUGUUUGAAAGAUUAACCAGAGGUCUUCGGUUUUAAAAGAUGUCUCUCACAACCUCUGUGUAAUUUCAAAUUCUCACUGAAAUGACUAGUCAUCUACUUUUUUAAAACCACACUACCAAAAACUAGUAUUGAUUAUUAAUCUUUUUUCCAGAGUCCAGAAGGACUAUUUUUCCUACCAUAUUAAUGUAACUGGAUGGGAAAUUCAACGAUAAUCCAUCCCUGCCAUGCACUGUUUUAAAAAGGUAGGUGCUUUGUCGCUCUUUACUAUUUGCCCUCCUGAGAAAUCAUAGGUCCACACCAGUGGUUCCCAGAAUUCAGGGUACAUCCCAGUCAUCUAGAGAAUUGUUAAAAUGUGGAUUCUCAGGCUUCACUCCCCAUCCCCACCCUGAGAUUCUGACUCAGAAGGUCUGAAAAGGCCCAAGAAUAUGCAUUUUUGCAAUACCUAUAGGAGAUCACCCACAUGCCACACAUUUUAGUCACAAAACUGGGUAAUAGUUCUCUCCAUUGUUCUAUUUUGUAGUUAAAGCUGCCCUCCUAUUUAUCCUCUUCAGCACUGCUUCUUAAACAAUUUGUAAGUACUCUCCCCUUAUCUACAAACAAUCAAAAUAAAAUAAAAUAAAAACUGAGCAGGGAAUUGAAGAAAAGAAGAAAGAAGAGAACAGAUAACGGCUCCUUUAUAUCAUGAAAUGUUGUUAGACAAGGACAUGGCAGGAAUAGCAGCCCUGACAAUACUUUGAACUGUAGGUUUUCUUGAACUCCUUCUAUUCAGAGUAUGGGAAGGAGCCCGAAGGAACCACAAGAGCCAAAGCCAGCUAGAUCUUAAGAUCUGUGAAGGGAAUUUGACCAGCACACGAGCGGACAGACAAGAGGGCCAAAGACAAUUCGACCAGUCUGUCUGUUGGCAAAGACCAGGUCAGGCUCAAUGGAUUAUUCUAUAUCCAAAAAUAAGUAAAAAGGAGGAAAAAAGAAUCCAUUUUAAAGAUACUGUGAGACAGAGGAAAUAAAAUAGCAUGUCAAUUCAGAAGGCAGGUAUAUCAGUGAAAACUUAUUACAGUAAUGAGGGGGGAAAGAGCUGUAUUUGCAUGGUUAAGGAUCUAAGAGUACGUAGCCUUUAUGAAAUAAGAGUGAGGAAGAACAUGAGAAGCUGAGAAAGAAAGAGAUGAGUGAGGUAAGAAAUAUAUAUUGGAAGAACACCAGCACACACACAAAGUACUCCAUAAUGCCGGAAAAAAUAUUUUAAAACAGCACUUAAAGUGAAUUAGUAAGCUUAUAAGAAAGUAGAGAAAAUUCUCUAAAUCCAAGAAUAAAGCUAGAGGAAGAGUCUGGGAGGUUGAGGAAUCACCAAAUGUGCUGGAUGCCCUGAAAACAUCUGUUCUCCCAGGUGCGUAUAGCUGUAGGUGACACACAGAACAGGGAGUGAGUGGUUUGAAGACCCCAGCAUAAAGCCAGAGUGGGAAAAGGGCUACACAAUUAGCUAAAUGGUAGACUAAGAGAAAAAAUUGCUGAGGUAGACAAUAAGACAUCACACCUAUCUGGUUGAUUCUAGGUAGAACAUUUUUUUCUUUAAGAAUGUGUGGCUUCAGGGUGCCUGGGUGGCUCAGUCCUUAAGCAUCUGCCUCCAGCUCAGGUCAUGAUUCCAGGAUCCUGGGAUCCAGCCCCAU